rnacentral:rRNA from 1 species
UAUUCUAAGGCGCUUGAGAGAACUCAGGAGAAGGAACUCGGCAAAUUGACACCGUAACUUCGGAAGAAGGUGUGCCUUUAGUAGGUGAACCAUUUACUUGGGGAGCCCAAUGAGGCCGCAAAAAAUCGGUGGCUGCAACUGUUUAUUAAAAACACAGCACUCUGCUAAGACGAAAGUCGACGUAUAGGGUGUGACGCCUGCCCGGUGCUGGAAGAUUAAAUGAUGGGGUGCAAGCUCUUGAUUGAAGUCCCAGUAAACGGCGGCCGUAACAAUAACGGUCCUAAGGUAGCGAAAUUCCUUGUCGGGUAAGUUCCGACCUGCACGAAUGGCGUAAUGAUGGCCACACUGUCUCCUCCUGAGACUCAGCGAAGUUGAAAUGUUUGUGAUGAUGCAAUCUCCCCGCGGAAAGACGGAAAGACCCCAUGAACCUUUACUGUAGCUUUGUAUUGGACUUUGAACAGAUCUGUGUAGGAUAGGUGGGAGGCUUUGAAGUGUGGUCGCUAGAUCGCAUGGAGCCAACGUUGAAAUACCACCCUGGUGUGUUUGAGGUUCUAACCUAGGUCCAUUAUCUGGAUCGGGGACAGUGCAUGGUAGGCAGUUUGACUGGGGCGGUCUCCUCCCAAAGUGUAACGGAGGAGUUCGAAGGUACGCUAGGUACGGUCGGACAUCGUGCUAAUAGUGCAAUGGCAUAAGCGUGCUUAACUGCGAGACUGACAAGUCGAGCAGAUGCGAAAGCAGGACAUAGUGAUCCGGUGGUUCUGUAUGGAAGGGCCAUCGCUCAACGGAUAAAGGGUACUCUGGGGAUAACAGGCUGAUACCGCCCAAGAGUUCAUAUCGACGGCGGUGUUUGGCACCUCGAUGUCGGCUCAUCUCAUCCUGGGGCUGUAGCCGGUCCCAAGGGUAUGGCUGUUCGCCAUUUAAAGAGGUACGUGAGCUGGGUUUAAAACGUCGUGAGACAGUUUGGUCCCUAUCUUCCGUGGGCGCUGCAGAUUUGAGGAAGCCUGCUCCUAGUACGAGAGGACCGGAGUGGACGAACCUCUGGUGUAUCGGUUGUCACGCCAGUGGCAUUGCCGAGUAGCUAAGUUCGGAAGAGAUAACCGCUGAGAGCAUCUAAGCGGGAAACUCGUUUCAAGAUUAGAUCUGCCGGGGCCUUGAGCCCCCUAAAGAGUCGUUCAAGACCAGGACGUUGAUAGGUCAGGUGUGGAAGCG